rnacentral:rRNA from 1 species
UACGUAGGGUGCGAGCGUUGUCCGGAAUUAUUGGGCGUAAAGGGCUCGUAGGCGGUUUGUCGCGUCGGGAGUGAAAACGCCGUGCUUAACACGGCGCUUGCUUUCGAUACGGGCAGACUAGAGGUAUGCAGGGGAGAACGGAAUUCCUGGUGUAGCGGUGAAGUGCGCAGAUAUCAGGAGGAACACCGGUGGCGAAGGCGGUUCUCUGGGCCGAUACUGACGCUGAGGAGCGAAAGCGUGGGGAGCGAACAGG